rnacentral:rRNA from 1 species
GAUGAACGCUGGCGGCGUGCCUAAAACAUGCAAGUCGAGCGGUAAGGCCCCUUCGGGGGUACACGAGCGGCGGACGGGCGAGUAACACGUGGGAAUCUACCCCAAACUGAGGGAUAAGCACCGGAAACGGUGGCUAAUACCGCAUAUGGUCUUCGGAUUAAAGCUUCGGCGGUUUGGGAAGAGCCCGCGCAAGAUUAGCUAGUUGGUAAGGUAAUGGCUUACCAAGGCGACGAUCUUUAGCUGGUUUGAGAGGAUGAUCAGCCACACUGGAACUGAGACACGGUCCAGACUCCUACGGGAGGCAGCAGUUAGGAAUCUUCCACAAUGGGCGAAAGCCUGAUGGAGCAACGCCGCGUGCAGGAUGAAUGCCUUCGGGUUGUAAACUGCUUUUAUGUGCGAAGAAUAUGACGGUAACACAUGAAUAAGGAUCGGCUAACUCCGUGCCAGCAGCCGCCGUAA